UGCCAGCAGCCGCGGUAACACGUAGGGGGCAAGCGUUGUCCGGAUUUAUUGGGCGUAAAGAGCUCGUAGGCUGUUUGGUAAGUCGGGUGUGAAAACUCAGGGCUCAACCCUGAGACGCCACCCGAUACUGCAAAUCUUGAGUUCGGAAGGGAGAGGCGGAAUUCCAGGUGUAGUGGUGAAAUACGUAGAUAUCUGGAAGAACACCAGAGGCGAAGGCGGUCUCUUGGUCCGAAACUGACGCUGAGGCGCGAAAGCGUGGGGAGCAAACAGGAUUAGAUA
rnacentral:rRNA from 1 species